UGAGGAAUAUUGGUCAAUGGGCGCAAGCCUGAACCAGCCAUCCCGCGUGAAGGAAGACGGCCCUAUGGGUUGUAAACUUCUUUUGUACAUGAAGAAAGGGACCUACGGGUAGGUUCGUGACGGUAAUGUACGAAUAAGCAUCGGCUAACUCCGUGCCAGCAGCCGCGGUAAUACGGAGGAUGCGAGCGUUAUCCGGAUUCAUUGGGUUUAAAGGGUACGUAGGUGGCCCGGUAAGUCAGUGGUGAAAACCUGCCGCUUAACGGUAGGCGUGCCAUUGAUACUGUCGGGCUUGAGUGCAGUUGAGGCAGGCGGAAUGUGUAGUGUAGCGGUGAAAUGCAUAGAUAUUACACAGAACUCCGAUUGCGAAGGCAGCUUGCUAAAGUGCAACUGACGCUGAUG
rnacentral:rRNA from 1 species